AACGAACGCUGGCGGCAGGCUUAACACAUGCAAGUCGAACGCCCCGCAAGGGGAGUGGCAGACGGGUGAGUAACGCGUGGGAACAUACCCUUUUCUACGGAAUAGCUCUGGGAAACUGGAAUUAAUACCGUAUACGCCCUACGGGGGAAAGAUUUAUCGGGGAAGGAUUGGCCCGCGUUGGAUUAGCUAGUUGGUGGGGUAAAGGCCUACCAAGGCGACGAUCCAUAGCUGGUCUGAGAGGAUGAUCAGCCACAUUGGGACUGAGACACGGCCCAAACUCCUACGGGAGGCAGGAGUGGGGAAUAUUGGACAAUGGGCGCAAGCCUGAUCCAGCCAUGCCGCGUGAGUGAUGAAGGCCUUAGGGUUGUAAAGCUCUUUCACCGAUGAAGAUAAUGACGGUAGUCGGAGAAGAAGCCCCGGCUAACUUCGUG
rnacentral:rRNA from 1 species